UAGGGAAUAUUAGUAAUGGGCGAAAGCCUGAACUAGCAACACCGCGUGUGCGAAGAAGGCCUUCGGGUUGUAAAGCACUUUUUGGAAGGAAUAGGAAGGAAUGUACUUCCAGAAUAAGUCUCGGCUAACUACGUGCCAGCAGCCGCGGUAACACGUAGGAGGCAAACGUUAUCCGGAUUUACUGGGCGUAAAGCGCGUGUAGGUGGUACUGUAAGUAGGGCGUGAAAGCUCCUGGCUCAACUGGGAGAGGCCGUUCUAAACUACAUAACUAGAGGAUGGUAGAGGGAGGUGGAAUUCCAGGUGUAGCGGUGGAAUGCGCAGAUAUCCGGAGGAACACCAGUGGCGAAAGCGGCCUCCUGGACCAUUCCUGACACUCAGACGCGAAAGCUAGGGUAGUAAACG
rnacentral:rRNA from 1 species